CUUAGAGGAGUAUAAGUCGUAACACGUUUCCGUAGGUGACCUGCGUAGGAUCAUUACUGA
rnacentral:rRNA from 1 species